UGGCGGACGGGUGAGUAAUGUCUGGGAAACUGCCCGAUGGAGGGGAUAACUACUGGAAACGGUAGCUAAUACCGCAUAACGUCGCAAGACCAAAGAGGGGGACCUUAGGGCCUCUUGCCAUCGGAUGUGCCCAGAUGGGAUUAGCUAGUAGGUGGGGUAACGGCUCACCUAGGCGACGAUCCCUAGCUGGUCUGAGAGGAUGACCAGCCACACUGGAACUGAGACACGGUCCAG
rnacentral:rRNA from 1 species